rnacentral:lncRNA from 1 species
UAAACAACAUAAUUGGUAGACUUAAUGUCAUUAGUUGGUCCGCCUGAAAUGUUAAAGUUAAAUCUUUUUGUGGCACUAAACGAUAGUCGUAUAUACUUCUGAAGACCAAAAAUAUAAAAUAAUUUCGGGAUGAAAAAGAAAGUUGAAGGAAAGUUAUCACUAUGGUCAUAAAUAUCAGACACACAAGAUUUUGUGCUUGUUAUUUUGCCUUUGAUUAGGGACUUUAGUUUUGAAUUUUCGUGAUUUUUCUUUUAACCCAUUAACAUC